rnacentral:rRNA from 1 species
CACGGACCAAGGAGUCUAGCAUGUGCGCGAGUCAUUGGGAACUCACUAAACCUAAAGGCGUAAUGAAAGUGAAGGCCCGCCUUGCGCGGGCCGAGGGAAGAUGGGCGUCGGCCGCAAGUCCACGCUCCGCAUUCCCGGGGCGUCUCGUCCUCAUCGCGAGGAGAGGCGCACCAAGAGCGUACACGCUGGGACCCGAAAGAUGGUGAACUAUGCCUGGUCAGGACGAAGUCAGGGGAAACCCUGAUGGAGGUCCGUAGCGAUUCUGACGUGCAAAUCGAUCGUCGGAACUGGGUAUAGGGGCGAAAGACUAAUCGAACCAUCUAGUAGCUGGUUCCCUCCGAAGUUUCCCUCAGGAUAGCUGGCGCUCGUCGCUCACGAGUCUCAUCCGGUAAAGCGAAUGAUUAGAGGCAUUGGGGCCGAAACGGCCUCAACCUAUUCUCAAACUUUAAAUGGGUGAGAUCUCCGGCUUGCUCGAACUGAUGAAGCCGCGAGACACGGAUCAGAGUGCCAAGUGGGCCAUUUUUGGUAAGCAGAACUGGCGCUGUGGGAUGAACCAAACGCCGAGUUAAAGCGCCUAAAUCGACGCUUAUGGGAUACCAUGAAAGGCGUUGGUAACUUAAGACAGCAGGACGGUGGCCAUGGAAGUCGGAAUCCG